rnacentral:rRNA from 1 species
AUUGAACGCUGGCGGCAUGCCUUACACAUGCAAGUCGAACGGCAGCACGGGAGCAAUCCUGGUGGCGAGUGGCGAACGGGUGAGUAAUAUAUCGGAACGUGCCCAGUCGUGGGGGAUAACGCAGCGAAAGCUGUGCUAAUACCGCAUACGAUCUACGGAUGAAAGCGGGGGAUCGCAAGACCUCGCGCGAUUGGAGCGGCCGAUAUCAGAUUAGCUAGUUGGUGAGGUAAAGGCUCACCAAGGCGACGAUCUGUAGCUGGUCUGAGAGGACGACCAGCCACACUGGAACUGAGACACGGUCCAGACUCCUACGGGAGGCAGCAGUGGGGAAUUUUGGACAAUGGGCGCAAGCCUGAUCCAGCAAUGCCGCGUGCAGGAUGAAGGCCUUCGGGUUGUAAACUGCUUUUGUACGGAACGAAACGGUGAGCUCUAAUACAGUUUGCUAAUGACGGUACCGUAAGAAUAAGCACCGGCUAACUCUGUGCCAGCCGCCGCAGUAAUAC